AUUGGAGGAAAGAAUGGCAAAAAAAAAAAAAAUCAAAAUAUUUCUUUUGUCCUUAACUUUAGGACAAAUAGAAAAUAUUGGUGAUGAUAAAAGAGUAUAUUUAAAAAGACAAAAAAUCAAAAUGCUUUGUACCCUUAACUUAAGGGCAAAUAAGAAAGAUUGGUAAAAAUAGAAGGGUAUAUUUGAAAGGUCAAAUAGUAUUUUCAUACAGAUAACAACAGUCAAAUAGUAAUUUCAUACAGAUAACAACUAUUGCUAAUAAUUCAUUAAUAGAAUUUAAUUCUAAGGGUGUAUUGGAAAUAGGUUGUAAUGUAAAAAAGGUAUUUUCAAUAUUAUCCUUUUAAGAGGGGUAAUUAGAAAGUCGAAAACUUUUCAAAAAUAUAUAAACAAUUGCCCCAUAUAUAUAUAUAUAUAUAUAUAUAGAGAGAGAGAGAGAGAGAGAGAGAGAGAGAGAGAGAGAGAGAGAGAGAGAGCGCUAAGUUGGUAUGCUAUUGGUAUCACGGAGCUCUCCGUGCUACCAAUUUGUUUUCAAUAAUGUGGCUUUCCAAUCGACGAUCGACUCCAUUAGAUUUGAUUUACACUACUAAAAGUAUUGGAAACUAAAUUUUAUUAUUUUUCGAUAUUAUUUGACUAGUGAUCAAAAGGUCUUAAAAUUGACAAUUUAAUGGUCGAUGUGAUGCGUUUGUGAAUUUAACGGUAUAAAACAGUCUAAAUAUGAUGAAAUUUUUAUAGAAAAUUCUUUUCACUAUUUAAAGUAAGAUCAGUACUUCUGAUAUUAAAUUCAAGUUUUUUAUCAUUAUUUUUUAUGAAAUUUUUAUUUUCAGCUGUUCAUUUUUAGACUAUUCGUUUGAUAGGUAAAUAAUGUUGAAAAAUUAUGAAAUUUAGUUUCCAAAUACUUUCAACUGUGUAGAUCAAGUCUAACGGAGCUGAUCGUCGAUUUGAAAACCGCAUCAUUGAAAAUAGCUUGGUAGUACGGAGGCUUCCGUGCUACUGAUAGUAUAUCAACCUAGCUCUCUCUCUCUCUCUCUCUCUCUCUCUCUCUCUCUCUCUAUAUAUAUAUAUAUAAAGUCUAGUUCAAAUAACAUAAAUGUGAUCGUGUACAGUAUUACACUCUUUUUUAACCGUAGAUUAAAUACAAUCUAAGAAUUGAGAUGAAACAAUGGGCAACUUUUUGUUUCUUUAUUAAAAUACUCUUUUCUCCUUCAUAGGAUGUGAUAUCACUACAGUAAACUUCCAUUUCACUCCCCUUUUUGUUUUCUUUUUUUUUUUCCAUUGUAAACCCACUAUGUAAUCAAUUUUUCUCAACUAAUUGACACAACUUUGUAUUAACAUUUCAUGCACAGUUCGAUUGAUAAUUUUUAAUAUAAGUGAAAUUUUUAAAGAAAAAUAAUUUAUAUAAUAAACUAACAAUAUUUAGAUAAAAAAUUAUCAAUAUUUUAUUUCUUUCGAUGCUUUUGGAUGGUUCCAAUUGAUUUUAAUACACUGCAAUUUAAUUUUAUAAAAUAUUUAAAAUUUAAUUGACUGCAACAAUUCACAUUAAAAUAAAUAAAAUUUUCAAGAAUUUAUUAACAAACUAAAGUUCAAGGGCCAAUUAUAUAUAGCAAUAAUCCCUUUAUAAUCUGUUUUAUUGUUAAAUUUCUUUAUAUGCUUUCACAUUUUUGAAAAACCAAUAUUUUAUGUGCACAUAAAAUUAAGUUAAUGUAAAUAAUUACAGUAACAAACCUUAUAUAUCAGUAUGAGAUAGAAAAUAUUAUGUAAACUUUCAUUCUCAGGAAUCCAAAAAUAAAUAAAGGACGGAGUAAGGAAAUGGUGUCACAUCCAAGGCUAGUAAAGUGAUGUCACAUCUUGUAGAAAAAGUAUUUUAACAUAGAAACAAAAAAGUUACUAUUGUUUUAUCUUAACCGUUGGAUCGUACUUAGAUCUACGGUUCAAAAGAAAUGUAAUACUAUUUAUUAUUUCACUUAUGUUAUUUGAACUUAAUGAGUCUCAUAUAUAUAUAUAUAUAUAUAUAUAUAUAUAUAUAUAUAUAUAUAUAUAUAUAGAGUCCGGCUGCUAUGCUAUCGGUAGCACGGAGCGCUUCGUGCUACCAAGUUGUUUUCGAUUAUGCGGCUUCCAAAUCGACGAUCGGCUCCGUUAGACUUGAUCUACACUAUUGAAAGUGUUUGGAAACUAAAUUUCAAAUUUUUUCGACAUCAUUUGACUAGUGAUCGAAAGAUCUCAAAAUUGACAAUUUUAAUGGCCGAUGUGGUGUGUUUGUGAGUUUAACGGUGUAAAACAAUUCAAAUGCGAUGAAAAUUUUAUAGAAAAUUCUUUUUACUAUUUAGAGUAAGAUCAGUAUAUCUGAUCUUGAAUUUAAAUCUUUUGUCAUCAUUUUUUAUGAGAUUUUUAUUUUCAGCCGUUCAAUUUUAG
rnacentral:lncRNA from 1 species